rnacentral:lncRNA from 1 species
AAAAGAUAAAAUAAAAAAGAUAAAAGAAAAGAAAACAAGCAGAAACGCAAAUCUGAAAAAAGAAAGUCACCUUCAAAAAUCUAUUUUGUUUUUUUUUUAUUUCAAUAAUCGUAAAAGCAAAGGAAGAAGAAGUUCUUCCUUACAGUAGAUUCGGUUUUAACCGAAAGAAAAGAAAAAUAAAAAUAAAAGAGAGAAAAAAAAAGAAAUUCCCCCGAUUACAGUGAUUUCG